UACGUAGGGGGCAAGCGUUGUCCGGAAUCAUUGGGCGUAAAGCGCGUGUAGGCGGUUCGGUAAGUCUGCUGUGAAAGUCCAGGGCGCAACCCUGGGAUGCCGGUGGAUACUGUCGGACUAGAGUAUGGGAGAGGGCAGUGGAAUUCCCGGUGUAGCGGUGAAAUGCGUAGAUAUCGGGAGGAACAUCAGUGGCGAAGGCGGCUGCCUGGCCCAAUACUGACACUCAGGUGCGACAGCGUGGGGAGCAAACAGG
rnacentral:rRNA from 1 species